AUCGCGGUUUAGCUCGAUCGGCUCAACAACUACAUCUCAAUCGCUUUGAAAUCACUUAGAUCUUCGAUAUUUGAUCGCAACAACAGAUAUUUGAUCGCAACAAUAGAUCAAAGAGAGGGCGAGGGAGAUGAAGAGGAAGUUUAGGGUUUUUCGCCUGGAUCGAGAGCCGAGUUGAUGAAGCUGGGGUGUGCGAUGAAGGGGAACAAGCGCUUAGUUGAUGAAGCAGGGGCGUGCGACGAAGAGGAUCGAGCGCCAGGUUGAUGAAACUUGGGCGUGUGAUAAAGGGGAUCAUGCGCCGGGCGUGCGAUAAAGGGGUUGAUGAAGCUGGGAGAAGAGAGAGAGAGAGGGCGUGUGAUGAAAGGGUUCACAUGUCCGAGUU
rnacentral:lncRNA from 1 species